UGAGCAACCUGCCCUUAGCUUUGGGAUAACCCUCGGAAACGGGGGCUAAUACCGAAUGUUCACUGCCGGGCGCAUGUUUGGUGGUGGAAAGUUUUUCGGCUGGGGAUGGGCUCGCGGCCUAUCAGCUUGUUGGUGGGGUGAUGGCCUACCAAGGCGAUGACGGGUAGCCGGCCUGAGAGGGCGACCGGCCACACUGGGACUGAGACACGGCCCAGACUCCUACGGGAGGCA
rnacentral:rRNA from 1 species